GAUAGGGUUUGCAAAUUUGCCACAUCUAGGCGAAAAUAUUUAUUUUUAUCGAACUACAAUAUUUGUCAAUAAAAUAUUGUAUUUUCUGUCACAUAGUCUUUAUCCGUGAAAUAAUCACUCCUUUUUUUUCUUUGAUGAUGAUGAUGCAGCUACAUUUGAUAGAGUAAAAAAAUAUUCAAUUGGUGGUGAAGGCAAAAACGGUAGGAAGACUAAUUUUUCUUGCGGUAGUAUUUUACAAAACUUCACUGCAAUAGCAGUCAAAUGAAUAUGCUCACUGCGGAUCUUAUUGCGACGUAUGAACAAAAAAGGAAACCUGCGGUGCUCCUCCUUCAAAAAACUAGAAAAAAACAUCUAGUAUGUGGUAGCAAUUAAAAAAAUUAACAGAUAAUUCCAAUGCAGUUGCUCAUUGCGGAACUAUUUUAAGAAAGAGAAAAUACCGCAAAUUUGAUGGAUCAUCUUAAAUGGAUCGAUCCAAAUCGGCAGAGAUGAUGAAAUUAACUCAACAUUUUUCGAUGUUGGAUGUAACGCACUGUGGAAUAUGAACUAGAUUCCCAACAAAAACAAACAUUGAACAAGUAUGUAAUGCCUAUUAUUGCAAAGAAUGUACAACCUUUCAUCACAGUCUUCGACGAAGGAUUUCUUGAUGAGUUCCAAUAUAUACAACGCAAAAUACAACUGUCGAGCCGCUCGUUUUUUCGAGACGUAAUGCUUCUGAGAAUGUACGAACAUCUUGUCUGUGAGCUCAGGCAGACUUCCCGGCAAAUGAAGCAUACAUAUAUAACAGUUACAAUUCCCGGUCAUUUUUGCAGUAACGCCCAGAAGUAACUCGAUAGCAAACGUAGCUGAAACUCUUUCGAAAAUAUUAAUUAGUAUUGUUAUCUAUAACGAUGCGACUAUGAAAAAUGCGUGUGAGGAUGUGAAUAUUAAAAAUUUUUCGUAUUUUGGGUACACAAUCAAUCUGCUGGUGCGGGAAAUCCUCAAAAUGGAUAUUUUUCAACCUAUUAUGGUUAAGUGCAAGGCAAUCGUUGCUUUUAUAAAGCAAAGUUCUACAACAGUGGCCUAAUUUAAGGAAGCUCAUAAAGAGGUUCCUGCAAAAAGUUACAGUGCAUAUGAAUCAUCUCGAUGGAAUUUUUUCUACAAAGGAUGCACUUUGCUUUAUUGGGCACUGCUAAAGCACUUGUACCUUUUUUAGGAUACCUCUGCACAUUACUGCAUUCUUUGGAUGAAGCGACUAAGAAGAUUUUCGGUUAUCGGGAUAUGUUUUCUGGAUUUCAAUGGUUAUUUCCAUGAUUAGUUAAUCGCAAAUCCUAUUACUUUUUUUGAUUAUGCGUUUUAGUGAUGAUGUGCAAUGAUUUUUUGACCGAUGUUUAAAUGUUUAAACUACUACGUAAACUAAUGUUUAUCAAGAAAAAUUACGAACAAAUAAAUAAUUAAAAUUA